GCCCUGGCAGUCAGAGGCGAUGAAGGACGUGCUAAUCUGCGAUAAGCGUCGGUAAGGUGAUAUGAACCGUUAUAACCGGCGAUUUCCGAAUGGGGAAACCCAGUGUGAUUCGUCACACUAUCAUUAACUGAAUCCAUAGGUUAAUGAGGCGAACCGGGGGAACUGAAACAUCUAAGUACCCCGAGGAAAAGAAAUCAACCGAGAUUCCCCCAGUAGCGGCGAGCGAACGGGGAGCAGCCCAGAGCCUGAAUCAGUGUGUGUGUUAGUGGAAGCGUCUGGAAAGGCGUGCGAUACAGGGUGACAGCCCCGUACACAAAAAUGCACAUAUUGUGAGCUCGAUGAGUAGGGCGGGACACGUGGUAUCCUGUCUGAAUAUGGGGGGACCAUCCUCCAAGGCUAAAUACUCCUGACUGACCGAUAGUGAACCAGUACCGUGAGGGAAAGGCGAAAAGAACCCCGGCGAGGGGAGUGAAAAAGAACCUGAAACCGUGUACGUACAAGCAGUGGGAGCACGCUUAGGCGUGUGACUGCGUACCUUUUGUAUAAUGGGUCAGCGACUUAUAUUCUGUAGCAAGGUUAACCGAAUAGGGGAGCCGAAGGGAAACCGAGUCUUAACUGGGCGUUAAGUUGCAGGGUAUAGACCCGAAACCCGGUGAUCUAGCCAUGGGCAGGUUGAAGGUUGGGUAACACUAACUGGAGGACCGAACCGACUAAUGUUGAAAAAUUAGCGGAUGACUUGUGGCUGGGGGUGAAAGGCCAAUCAAACCGGGAGAUAGCUGGUUCUCCCCGAAAGCUAUUUAGGUAGCGCCUCGUGAAUUCAUCUCCGGGGGUAGAGCACUGUUUCGGCAAGGGGGUCAUCCCGACUUACCAACCCGAUGCAAACUGCGAAUACCGGAGAAUGUUAUCACGGGAGACACACGGCGGGUGCUAACGUCCGUCGUGAAGAGGGAAACAACCCAGACCGCCAGCUAAGGUCCCAAAGUCAUGGUUAAGUGGGAAACGAUGUGGGAAGGCCCAGACAGCCAGGAUGUUGGCUUAGAAGCAGCCAUCAUUUAAAGAAAGCGUAAUAGCUCACUGGUCGAGUCGGCCUGCGCGGAAGAUGUAACGGGGCUAAACCAUGCACCGAAGCUGCGGCAGCGACGCUUAUGCGUUGUUGGGUAGGGGAGCGUUCUGUAAGCCUG
rnacentral:rRNA from 1 species